rnacentral:misc_RNA from 1 species
GAUGAAGAACGCAGCGAAAUGCGAUACGUAAUGUGAAUUGCAGAAUUCAGUGAAUCAUCGAGUCUUUGAACGCACAUUGCGCCCUCUGGUAUUCCGGGGGGCAUGCCUGUUCGAGCGUCAUUAUAACCACUCAAGCUCUCGCUUGGUAUUGGGGCUCGCGGUUCCGCGGCCCCUAAAAUCAGUGGCGGUGCCUGUCGGCUCUACGCGUAGUAAUACUCCUCGCGAUUGAGUCCGGUAGGUCUACUUGCCAGCAACCCCCAAUUUUUACAGGUUGACCUCGGAUCAGGUAGGGAUACCCGCUGAACUUAAGCAUAUCAAUAAGCGGAGGA